rnacentral:rRNA from 1 species
GAUGAACGCUGGCGGCGUGCCUAAUACAUGCAAGUCGAGCGAACGGACGAGAAGCUUGCUUUUCUGAUGUUAGCGGCGGACGGGUGAGUAACACGUGGAUAACCUACCUAUAAGACUGGGAUAACUUCGGGAAACCGGAGCUAAUAUCGGAUAAUAUUUUGAACCGCAUGGUUCAAAAGUGAAAGACGGUCUUGCUGUCACUUAUAGAUGGAUCCGCGCUGCAUUAGCUAGUUGGUAAGGUAACGGCUUACCAAGGCAACGAUGCAUAGCCGACCUGAGAGGGUGAUCGGCCACACUGGAACUGAGACACGGUCCAGACUCCUACGGGAGGCAGCAGUAGGGAAUCUUCCGCAAUGGGCGAAAGCCUGACGGAGCAACGCCGCGUGAGUGAUGAAGGUCUUCGGAUCGUAAAACUCUGUUAUUAGGGAAGAACAUAUGUGUAAGUAACUGUGCACAUCUUGACGGUACCUAAUCAGAAAGCCACGGCUAACUACGUGCCAGCAGCCGCGGUAAUACGUAGGUGGCAAGCGUUAUCCGGAAUUAUUGGGCGUAAAGCGCGCGUAGGCGGUUUUUUAAGUCUGAUGUGAAAGCCCACGGCUCAACCGUGGAGGGUCAUUGGAAACUGGAAAACUUGAGUGCAGAAGAGGAAAGUGGAAUUCCAUGUGUAGCGGUGAAAUGCGCAGAGAUGUGGAGGAACACCAGUGGCGAAGGCGACUUUCUGGUCUGUAACUGACGCUGAUGUGCGAAAGCGUGGGGAUCAAACAGGAUUAGAUACCCUGGUAGUCCACGCCGUAAACGAUGAGUGCUAAGUGUUAGGGGGUUUCCGCCCCUUAGUGCUGCAGCUAACGCAUUAAGCACUCCGCCUGGGGAGUACGACCGCAAGGUUGAAACUCAAAGGAAUUGACGGGGGCCCGCACAAGCGGUGGAGCAUGUGGUUUAAUUCGAAGCAACGCGAAGAACCUUACCAAAUCUUGACAUCCUUUGACAACUCUAGAGAUAGAGCCUUCCCCUUCGGGGGACAAAGUGACAGGUGGUGCAUGGUUGUCGUCAGCUCGUGUCGUGAGAUGUUGGGUUAAGUCCCGCAACGAGCGCAACCCUUAAGCUUAGUUGCCAUCAUUAAGUUGGGCACUCUAAGUUGACUGCCGGUGACAAACCGGAGGAAGGUGGGGAUGACGUCAAAUCAUCAUGCCCCUUAUGAUUUGGGCUACACACGUGCUACAAUGGACAAUACAAAGGGCAGCGAAACCGCGAGGUCAAGCAAAUCCCAUAAAGUUGUUCUCAGUUCGGAUUGUAGUCUGCAACUCGACUACAUGAAGCUGGAAUCGCUAGUAAUCGUAGAUCAGCAUGCUACGGUGAAUACGUUCCCGGGUCU